rnacentral:rRNA from 1 species
CAAUAGCGUAUAUUAAAGUUGUUGCAGUUAAAAAGCUCGUAGUUGGACUUCUGAUGUGGGACUGCGCCCCGGUAUUUUGCCGUUGGGUGCGGGCUCGCGUCUUCCUCUCGUAGUUGGAUGGUGCACUUAACUGGGUGCCUUCUGAAUAUGGGACCUUUACUUUGAAAAAAUUAGAGUGUUCAAAGCAGGCAAUCGCUUGAAUACAUUAGCAUGGAAUAAUAGAAUAGGACUUUGGUUCUAUUUUGUUGGUUUCUAGGACCGAAGUAAUGAUUAAUAGGGACAGUUGGGGGCACUCGUACUCCGUUGUCAGAGGUGAAAUUCUUGGAUUGACGGAAGACGAACAACUGCGAAAGCAUCUGCCAAGGAUGUUUUCAUUGAUCAAGAACGAAAGUUAGGGGAUCGAAGAUGAUUAGAUACCAU